GCCGUCAUAGCUCAAUGGUUGAGCAUUGUUCUUGUAAACCAAAGCUCAUGAAUUCAAUUCUCACUGGCGGUU